rnacentral:rRNA from 1 species
CACGUAGGGUGCGAGCGUUGUCCGGAAUUAUUGGGCGUAAAGAGCUCGUAGGCGGUGUGUCGCGUCGGCCGUGAAAACCUGCAGCUUAACUGUGGGCUUGCGGUCGAUACGGGCAUCACUGGAGUUCGGCAGGGGAGACUGGAAUUCCUGGUGUAGCGGUGAAAUGCGCAGAUAUCAGGAGGAACACCGGUGGCGAAGGCGGGUCUCUGGGCCAUAACUGACACUGAGGAGCGAAAGCAUGGGGAGCGAACAGG